rnacentral:rRNA from 1 species
AUUGAACGCUGGCGGCAGGCCUAACACAUGCAAGUCGAGCGAGUGGCGGACGGGUGAGUAAUGUAUGGGAAACUGCCCGAUGGAGGGGGAUAACUACUGGAAACGGUGGCUAAUACCGCAUACUAUCGGAUAAGCCCAGAUGGGAUUAGCUAGUAGGUGGGGUAAUGGCUCACCGAGGCGACGAUCUCUAGCUGGUCUGAGAGGAUGAUCAGCCACACGUGGACUGAGACACGGUCCAGACUCCUACGGGAGGCAGCAGUGGGGAAUAUUGCACAAUGGGCGCAAGCCUGAUGCAGCCAGGCCGCGUGUAUGAAGAAGGCCUUAGGGUUGUAAAGUACUUUCAGCGAGGAGGCGUUACCCGCAGAAGAAGCACCGGCUAACUCCGUGCCAGCAGCCGCGGUAAUAC